rnacentral:rRNA from 1 species
CGGGGUGCACCAGGCGCGAAAACUUUGCAAUGCGGGAAACCGUGGCAAGGGAACUCUGAGUGCCCGUUAAAUCGGGCUGUCCAUCGGUUUAAAUAACCGGUGAAGAAAGGGCCGGGCAAGACCGGUGCCAGCCGCCGCGGUAAUACCGGCGGCUCGAGUGGUGGCCACUAUUACUGGGCUUAAAGCGUUCGUAGCUGGUCUGUUAAGUCUCUGGGGAAAUCUUCCGGCUUAACCGGAAGGCGUCUCAGGGAUACUGGCAGACUAGGGACCGGGAGAGGUGAGAGGUACUCCAGGGGUAGGAGUGAAAUCCUGUAAUCCUUGGGGGACCACCUGUGGCGAAGGCGUCUCACCAGAACGGCUCCGACAGUGAGGGACGAAAGCUGGGGGAGCAAACCGGAUUAGAUACCCGGGUAGUCCCAGCUGUAAACGAUGCGCGUUAGGUGUAUCGGUGACCACGAGUCACCGAGGUGCCGAAGAGAAAUCGUGAAACGUGCCGCCUGGGAAGUACGGUCGCAAAGCGGAAACUUAAAGGAAUUGGCGGGGGAGCAC